GCGGACGGGUGAGUAACACGUGGGCAACCUGCCUGUAAGACUGGGAUAACUCCGGGAAACCGGGGCUAAUACCGGAUAACACUUUGAACUGCAUGGUUCGAAGAUGAAAGACGGCUUUUGCUGUCACUUACAGAUGGGCCUGCGGCGCAUUAGCUAGUUGGUGGGGUAAAAGCCUACCAAGGCCACGAUGCGUAGCCGACCUGAGAGGGUGAUCGGCCACACUGGGACUGAGACACGGCCCAGACUCCUACGGGAGGCAGCAGUAGGGAAUCUUCCGCAAU
rnacentral:rRNA from 1 species